CCUACGGGUGGCUGCAGUGAGGAAUAUUGGUCAAUGGCCGGAAGGCUGAACCAGCCAUGCCGCGUGAAGGUCAGUGCCCUAUGGGCGUUAAACCUCUUUUGUGCGGGAGCAAUAAUGGUCACGUGUGGCCAGACGAGAGUACCGUACGAAUAAGCAUCGGCUAAAUCCGGGCCAGCAGCCGCGGUAAUACGGGGGGUGCCAGCGUUAUCCGGAUUUAUUGGGUUUAAAGGGGGCGUAGGCUGUGAGGUAAGUCAGCGGUGAAAAGCUCGCGGUCAACGGGGUGAAGUGCCAUUGAUACUGGCUUGCUGGAGUGCGGAUGACGUGGGAGGAAUGUGUGGUGUAGCGGUGAAAUGCAUAGAUAUCACACAGAACACCGAUUGCGAAGGCAUCUCACGAAUCCGCGAUUGACGCUGAUGCACGAAAGCGUGGGUAUCAAACAGGAUUAGAUACCCGAGUAGUC
rnacentral:rRNA from 1 species